AGUACUUUUUUUAUAUACUAAAAGAAUAUGAGUGAAAAGAAGAAGAAAAAAAGAAAAGAAAGAGAAGGAAAAGUUGGAGUCGAUGACGGUUGUAGCUGAAAUUGGAGUUGAAGGAGGAGAAAAAAGAGAAAAAAAGAAGAGAAUGAGAAAAAAGAGGAGGAAAAGGAAAAUGAUGAGUUAGAGACAAUAAUGGUAGUAGUAGACAUGACAAAGAGAGGAGAAAAGGAGGAGUAAGAAGAAACAAAACGGAAAAAGAAGAGGAAGAAGGAAAAGAAAAACUCAAUCACAAUUUUUACUUAUGGUUAGAAUUCAUCGGUAAUUAUUAAUAAAUUUAAGAAUUUGUUAGUAAAAUUUAAUGGGGAACACUUUACCAACAAAUUCAUGGUCAUCAGUAAUUCGUGAAUAAAUUUAAAUUAUUGACGAAUUUUCAUUAUUAUAACAAAUU
rnacentral:lncRNA from 1 species